UGCAGUCGAGGGGCAGCAUCAUCGAAGCUUGCUUUGAUGGAUGGCGACCGGCGCACGGGUGAGUAACACGUAUCCAACCUGCCGACAACACUGGGAUAGCCUUUCGAAAGAAAGAUUAAUACCGGAUGGCAUAGUUUUCCCGCAUGGGAUAAUUAUUAAAGAAUUUCGGUUGUCGAUGGGGAUGCGUUCCAUUAGGCAGUUGGCGGGGUAACGGCCCACCAAACCUACGAUGGAUAGGGGUUCUGAGAGGAAGGUCCCCCACAUUGGAACUGAGACACGGUCCAAACUCCUACGGGAGGCAGCAGUGAGGAAUAUUGGUCAAUGGACGAGAGUCUGAACCAGCCAAGUAGCGUGAAGGAUGACUGCCCUAUGGGUUGUAAACUUCUUUUAUACGGGAAUAAAGUGAGCCACGUGUGGCUUUUUGUAUGUACCGUAUGAAUAAGGAUCGGCUAACUCCGUGCCAGCAGCCGCGGUAAUACGGAGGAUUCGAGCGUUAUCCGGAUUUAUUGGGUUUAAAGGGAGCGUAGGCGGGUUGUUAAGUCAGUUGUGAAAGUUUGCGGCUCAACCGUAAAAUUGCAGUUGAUACUGGCGACCUUGAGUGCAACAGGGGUAGGCGGAAUUCGUGGUGUAGCGGUGAAAUGCUUAGAUAUCACGAAGAACUCCGAUUGCGAA
rnacentral:rRNA from 1 species